UACGAAGGGGGCUAGCGUUGCUCGGAAUUACUGGGCGUAAAGCGCACGUAGGCGGCUUUCUAAGUCGGGGGUGAAAUCCUGGAGCUCAACUCCGGAACUGCCUUCGAUACUGGAGAGCUCGAGUCCGGGAGAGGUGAGUGGAACUGCGAGUGUAGAGGUGAAAUUCGUAGAUAUUCGCAAGAACACCAGUGGCGAAGGCGGCUCACUGGCCCGGUACUGACGCUGAGGUGCGAAAGCGUGGGAAGCAAACAGG
rnacentral:rRNA from 1 species